rnacentral:rRNA from 1 species
GACGUAGGGCGCGAGCGUUGUCCGGAUUUAUUGGGCGUAAAGAGCUCGUAGGCGGCUUGUCGCGUCGUCCGUGAAAACCCACAGCUCAACUGUGGGCUUGCGGUCGAUACGGGCAGGCUAGAGUUCGGUAGGGGAGACUGGAAUUCCUGGUGUAGCGGUGAAAUGCGCAGAUAUCAGGAGGAACACCGGUGGCGAAGGCGGCUCACUGGACCGGAACUGACGCUGAGGCGCGAAAGCGUGGGGAGCAAACAGG